rnacentral:rRNA from 1 species
UACGUAGGUGACAAGCGUUGUCCGGAAUUAUUGGGCGUAAAGCGCGCGCAGGCGGUCCUUUAAGUCUGAUGUGAAAGCCCACGGCUCAACCGUGGAGGGUCAUUCGAUACUGAUCGACUCGAAGGCAGGAGAGGGUAGUGGAAUUCCCGGUGUAGUGGUGAAAUGCGUAGAUAUCGGGAGGAACACCAAUGGCGAAGGCAGCUUGCUGGGACGGUACUGACGCUGAGACGCGAAAGCGUGGGGAGCAAACAGG